UACGGAGGGGGCUAGCGUUGUUCGGAAUUACUGGGCGUAAAGCGCACGUAGGCGGAUUUGUAAGUCAGGGGUGAAAUCCCGGGGCUCAACCUCGGAACUGCCUUUGAUACUGCAAGUCUCGAGUCCGAUAGAGGUGAGUGGAAUUCCUAGUGUAGAGGUGAAAUUCGUAGAUAUUAGGAAGAACACCAGUGGUGAAGGCGGCUCACUGGAUCGGUACUGACGCUGAGGUGCGAAAGCGUGGGGAGCAAACGGG
rnacentral:rRNA from 1 species